CAGCAGCCGCCACGGUAAAACAGAGGUCCCGAGCGUUGUUCGGAUUCACUGGGCGUAAAGGGUGUGUAGGAGGUUGGAUAAGUCAGGUGUGAAAUCCCGCAGCUCAACUGCGGAACUGCAUUCGAUACUGUUCAACUAGAGGAUCGGAGGGGGAAGCGGAAUUCUUGGUGUAGCGGUGAAAUGCGUAGAUAUCAAGAGGAACACCGGUGGCGAAGGCGGCUUCCUGGAAGAUACCUGACUCUGAAACACGAAAGCCAGGGGAGCGAAUGGGAUUAGAUACCCCCGUAGUCCCUGUCUCUUAUAC
rnacentral:rRNA from 1 species